AUAUAUAAGAGCAAUCUGACACAUUUGUCAUCCAUUAAUCAACAGAGCUGUUUCUAUUGAUCCAGCCAGUACACGGCUGCCCAAUUUCUCCCUCACUGUCCCAUGGGUGUUGCUGCCAAAGCUGUGUACUCCACUGAAGAGGACAGCAUUCCCUGAUAAAGAAGACUGUUCUAAGAUCUCUGAGGGGCUGAGCUCCCUGGCUAGAGCUCCCCAAAAAAGCUCUUGAGGUCUGAAGAAACUCCUAAGUACUUUUCAACACACUACCUCAAAACGAAAAGGAAUCUGAUUUUUC
rnacentral:sRNA from 14 species